AGAUGGCGACCGGCGCACGGGUGAGUAACACGUAUCCAACCUGCCGAUAACUCGGGGAUAGCCUUUCGAAAGAAAGAUUAAUACCCGAUGGUAUAAUCAGACCGCAUGGUUUGAUUAUUAAAGAAUUUCGGUUAUCGAUGGGGAUGCGUUCCAUUAGCAGUUGGUGAGGUAACGGCUCACCAAACCUUCGAUGGAUAGGGGUUCUGAGAGGAAGGUCCCCCACAUUGGAACUGAGACACGGUCCAA
rnacentral:rRNA from 1 species